rnacentral:tRNA from 1 species
GGCUAGGUCAGUUUGUAGAGCAUGGGACUCUUGAUCCCAGGAUUGUGGGUUUGAGCCCCACGCAGCCA